AAUAUUUGAUUACUUUUUCCAUAACCUAAAAUAAUUGGAAUGUUCUUUUGCAAUCCCAUUCCUGGUGAGGACUAGGAAUAUGUAACUGCACCAUAUAGCUACCUCAGAGACAUCUCCAGGGAAGAGUGUGGUGAUAUGGAAAAAUGGGUUGGAAAGUCUUUUUCAAGCCCCAAGGAAAAGUUGCAGAGCCCAGGAGAGAAAUCUCAGUAUCAUGCCAAUGCAAGAAUUUUGUUAUCCCUUCUCUUGGGAGAAAGAGCCAAGAGGAUAGUUGCUGGUAUGUGAUGAAGGCUCUGAAAGGAAAAUAAUAAAUUCACAUCAAAUGGGCUUCUCCUCCUCCUACUCUGUGUACAGAAUGUCUUAAGGAGACCAUAGCACAGUAUCAGUACUGCCUCCCAACACUUUCUGUAUCCCAAGAACUCCUCCUAGUCCUUUGCAACCUCCAAUAGAUUCACUUAAAAUAAAACUCCUAUUUUGGUCUGUCUUCUGUGAAAUUAUUGGUGGUGUCUUCUGGAAGGUGCAAAGUGAUGAAUUCCCUCACUUCCUCUUAAUGUCUGAAAGAACUGGGAUUAUAAGGUGCUUUUCAGGGGCUAUUUAAGGAUAGCAUCCAUAAUUAAUAUCCAAUUGGAUUCAGCUAUUAGCAUCUGCCAUUUCACACUGUCAAAGAAACUGGUAUAUGCUUGAUGUCACCUGUCUUUUCAAGGGUACCCUACAUAUGUUGUUCCUAUCUAUCCUACAUAUUAAAGAAGGAGUGUCAGUAAAAUGUCAGCACUCACUGCGUUGUUGUAUCAGUAGAUAUCCUUUAGCCAAUCAGAGAUUUAUUGUU